rnacentral:lncRNA from 1 species
UGCAGAGUCUCUUUUGAAAAGAGAGAACCAGAGCUCCCUGACCCGAACAGGAGCUCUGGAGAUUUUUGCUCCCAUGACCAUUUCGGCAUCUCCCACGCGAGCCAGGAACUGACCCCCUCUCUUUGAAAAACAGAGGCACCUCUCUUCAGCCAAUUUUUCCUUCAUUCUCACCUCACAAAUCAACCUCAAUCUCUCCCUCAGCCCUCUCGGUUGCAGCUAAACACGAGCAGACCAGCCUUCCUCCCUCAGAUCCAAAACCAGCCGGACUCUGCACCUUCUUUCCCCGGUUGGAAACUUUAUACCCAGAGGCUCAACAACACCAUUCUUUUUCCCCACAGAGAAGCCAAGGCAGAUCUCCCCUCUGCCUAAAAGAAACAAGAAUCGUUCGUCCCCCUCACUUCCUUUUAUUCUCCAGUAACCGGUCAAGUCUUACUCCUCUUUGGCCCGAAACCAGCGGCGACACCUGCUGCUCCAGCCUCAGCAACACCACUCCUCUCAGCCAUCAACGGCGACAGCCACAGACCAGCGGCGCUUCUUCAGCCAGCAGCUGAACAGACGCGACAGGAACCCGUUCGCCAGCAAUCCCUUGGUCACGCCACCGGCCACCGGAGAAGAAGGAAGAACAACAAAAUGGAAAACAAAACAAAAAGGGAGAGAAAACAGAAGUGAGCAGAUCCGAACGGUGAAGCGAGAAAGAAGAAAUAGAUCCAAAACGGAGAAUAAAAGAAAAAAAUCCAACUGGACAGAAAUGGAUUAAAAUGAACUGCCUGCGUUUCCUUUUUCUUGUUUGCAGGUCACCGCCGGUACGAUCAGAAAGAGGAGAAGGAGACGACCCCGAUCCACUAGCUGGUCUUCACCGGCGACGGCACGUGGAUCCACGUGCCGCCAGUAGCGGCGGUGCGUGAGGUCCACGCGCGUCCACGCGCCUCAAUAGUCCGGCUGAUCUCUGAAGGCUUCCCUGCGGUUCUGUAAUUUUUGGGGGUCUUUUCUGUAAUUUUGAAAUUCUUAAGGCCUUGUUUGGGUAAAUUUUGAAUUGUUGCUAUUUUGUAAUAUUGUAAAUGUGGAAAAGAAAAGAAAAACAAAUAAUAAUAAAAAAGUUGU